rnacentral:lncRNA from 1 species
AGGGGCUACAAGAAUGUGAAGAGGCAACCCACGGGGCUCAGCAAGGAGGACCUGGCCGAGGUGUGCAAGCGGGACGGCGCGGAGCGAGCUGAGAAAGACGUGGACCGGGUGGUGGGCUUGGGCAGCUCCAGUGGCAGUGCCGGCCGGGUGAUGCUCUCCAAGGAGGACAAGGAGGCGGCCAAGAUGGGGCUCUCCGUCUUCACACACCAGAAGGUCCCCGGCAGUCCCGAGGCGUCCGGCUCCAAGAGGAAGCAGGACAAGGAGGAGAAGGCGGAGGAGAAGCGGACGGAGAGCGGCAAGAAAGCCAAAAAGGAGAAGAAGAAAAGGAAAAAGAAAAAACACAAGAAGGAGAAGAAAAAGGACAAACAUCACAAGCGGGCGGCCUCCCCGUCCUCCUCAGCUUCCUCUCCGGACCGGGACGAGAGGCACCACCGGAGGAAAGCCCAGGACCGCCCUGAGGCCUCACGGCACCGGCGCCGCCACGACACCACGGACUCCUCCUCCUCCUCCUCCGGCAGCGAGGAAGGCUCGGGCAGGAGCCCCUCGCGCCGCCCGGCCCGCAGGAGGGCGCGGAGCCGGAGCGGGGACGGCCACCGGCCCCCGUCCCCGCGCCACAAGGGCAGGAAGAGGAGCAGGAGCCGCUCUCCCCGCUCCCGCGGCGGGGCCAGGCAGCGCCACGACACCGAGCCGGGUGACUGAGGGGCUUUGCUGGGGAGCGGGGCCAGAGGUUUUCUAUUUUUGAAGGUUAUUCUUUAAAUUAAAGUCACAGCUCCGCUGGCACCGUCCGGCUGGGGUGGGCUGGCCUCGGCGCAGCCCGGACUAAGCGCCGACGAAGCGGCUGGCGGGGAGUUUUCUUUCUUUAAGCCCUUUUUUUAAGUUCAUGAGCUGCGAAAUAAAGGUGAGGCAGAGGCUGAGCA